AGUGAACGCUGGCGGUAGGCCUAACACAUGCCAGUCGAACGGCAGCACAGUAAGAGCUUGCUCUUACGGGUGGCGAGUGGCGGACGGGUGAGGAAUACAUCGGAAUCUACUUUUUCGUGGGGGAUAACGUAGGGAAACUUACGCUAAUACCGCAUACGACCUACGGGUGAAAGCAGGGGAUCUUCGGACCUUGCGCGAUUGAAUGAGCCGAUGUCGGAUUAGCUAGUUGGCGGGGUAAACGCCCACCAAGGCGACGAUCCGUAGCUGGUCGGAGAGGAUGAUCGGCCACCCUGGAACUGAGACACGCUCCAGACUCCUACGGGAGGCAGCAGUGGGGAAUAUUGGGCAAUGGGCGCAAGCCUGAUCCAGCCAUACCGCGUGGGUGAAGAAGGCCUUCGGGUUGUAAAGCCCUUUUGUCGGGAAAGAAAAGCAGCAGGUUAAUACCCCGCUGUUCUGACGGUACCCAAAGAAUAAGCACCGGCUAACUUCGUG
rnacentral:rRNA from 1 species